AUACGUAGGUGACAAGCGUUAUCCGGAUUUACUGGGUGUAAAGGGCGUGUAGGCGGUUUAGCAAGUCAGAAGUGAAAUUCCCGGGCUUAACUUGGGCGCUGCUUCUGAAACUGCUUUACUUGAGUGCUGGAGAGGAUAGUGGAAUUCCUAGUGUAGCGGUAAAAUGCGCAGAUAUUAGGAGGAACACCGGUGGCGAAGGCGGCUAUCUGGACAGUAACUGACGCUGAGGCGCGAAAGCACGGGGAGCAAACAGGAUUAGAUACCCUGGUAGUCCGUGCCGUAAACGAUGAAUACUAGGUGUAGGGGGUAUCGACUCCCUCUGUGCCGCAGUUAACACAUUAAGUAUUCCGCCUGGGGAGUACGGCCGCAAGGUUGAAACUCAAAUGAAUUGACGGGG
rnacentral:rRNA from 1 species